rnacentral:rRNA from 1 species
GACGAACGCUGGCGGCGUGCUUAACACAUGCAAGUCGAGCGAGAUCCAUCCAGUGGCAACACUGGUGAAGAUCUAGCGGCGAACGGGUGAGUAACACGUGAGCAACCUGCCCCGAAGACCGGGAUAACAGCGGGAAACCGCUGCUAAUACCGGAUGCCCUCACCGGGCCGCAUGACCUGGUGAGGAAAUGGCUGAGUCUUAAAUAAACUCAGUCCGCGUUCGGGGAGGGGCUCGCGGGCUAUCAGCUUGCUGGUGAGGUAACGGCUCACCAAGGCUACGACGGCUAGCUGGUCUGAGAGGACGACC